UCAGGUUUCCUGGGGCAGCAGCAGCACCAGCAGCAGCAGCAGCAUCCAGUUUGCAGAGCCUGUGUCUCCGCCUCACCCAGAACCCUUUGAAGCAGAACCCAUCCCUCCUGUGCCCAGCUGCUGCCCAUCCUGGCAGUUCUCCAGCUGCCUCUCCUGCGAGGAAAGCCCUGGGUACCUGGAGCAGCUGAUUGAUUCCUGCCUGCAGCCGGAUGCACCCUCUGAGGCAGCCUUCAGUGCCUUCCAGCCAUCCUCACACUACAGCCCAGACACCUUCCAGCCAGCCCAGCUCUGCUCCAGCCAGGCCCUGGCUGCCAGCUCUCCCAGCCCAGCUGACCUGC